rnacentral:misc_RNA from 1 species
AAGUCGUAACAAGGUAACCGUAGGUGAACCUGCGGUUGGAUCAUUAUUGAAAAAUAUGAUUUAAUUCAUGAAAUUUUGCUUUGUUGCUUUCUUUGUCCCUAAAAAGACAAGAGCUCAACAAUGCAUUACCCCAAAAUUAAAGUCUUUAAGGGUAAAAGUGUAUGCUUUUACUUUUAAACUUUAUCUUUUCAUGUAUUUGGAGUGGUGUUGGCAACAACCUGCUCCUACUAUUAUACAAACAUUGAUUUAGUUUUUUAUUUUAAAUCGCUCAUAUCUCUUUACAGAGAUAUUCGAGUUAGAACAUAAAAACAUAAACAACUUUUGACAACGGAUCUCUAGGCUCUC